CCAAAUACAAUAUCUUGGAUUACCAAGCCCACAACUUCAAGUACACUACAAAAAUUUUAUAUUUAAGGUGCAAUUAGUGACUUACUGUUCCUAAUAAUUUAUAAUUUUGUCACAUAAGGACUGUUCGGGAGAUUCUGGCCACAAGUUUGGCCCAGGGAGGUCCUGCACCAAACUUCCUGACAACAUGGUGCUACAAUUUCUUGUGCCAUGGGGAAAUGAGCAUUGAUGGUGUGCCUGAGGAGGUUUUGGCUCAGGAUAUGAGAAACCUGAAGAGUGCAAAAUGCAGACAAUGAAAAUCUGAUGGAAUUGUCGGAAGCUGUUGUUGCUUGUGGUUACCAGGGACCAAUAACUUUUGACAAGAAAAAUGUCAUCACAGAGGCCAUUGCUCUGCAUUCAGUGUUGAGGUUGAUCCCGAUUGUGACUCCGUGAGGGGUUCAAACUGUAUGGGGUGACAGAGUUUUUGGCACAGC